UACGGAGGGUGCAAGCGUUGUUCGGAUUUACUGGGCGUAAAGCGCGCGCAGGUGGGUGAACAAGUCGGAAGUGAAAUCUUGAGGCUCAACCUCGAGGCUGCUCCCGAAACUGUUCGCCUAGGGACUGGUAGAGGCUGGUAGAAUUCCCGGUGUAGCGGUGGAAUGCGUAGAGAUCGGGAAGAAUACCUGUGGCGAAGGCGGCCAGCUGGGCCAGAUCCGACACUGAGGCGCGAAAGCUAGGGGAGCAAACGGG
rnacentral:rRNA from 1 species